CAGCCGCCGCGGUAAGACAGAGGAUGCAAGCGUUAUCCGGAAUGAUUGGGCGUAAAGUGUCUAUAGGUGGCUUUUCAAGUCCGCUGUCAAAUCCCAGGGCUCAACCCUGGACAGGCGGUGGAAACUACCAAGCUAGAGUACGGUAGGGGCAGAGGGAAUUUCCGGUGGAGCGGUGAAAUGCGUUGAGAUCGGAAAGAAUACCAACGGCGAAAGCACUCUGCUGGGCCGACACUGACACUGAGAGACGAAAGCUAGGGGAGCAAAUGGGAUUAGAUACCCCAGUAGUCCCUGUCUCUUAUAA
rnacentral:rRNA from 1 species